GAUGAACGCUGGCGGCGUGCCUAAUACAUGCAAGUCGAGCGAACAGACGAGGAGCUUGCUCCUCUGACGUUAGCGGCGGACGGGUGAGUAACACGUGGAUAACCUACCUAUAAGACUGGGAUAACUUCGGGAAACCGGGGCAAAUACCGGAAAAUAUAUUGAACCGCAUGGUUCAAUAGUGAAAGAGGGUUUUGCUGUCACUUAUAGAGGAAUCCGCGCCGCAUUAGCUAGUUGGUAAGGUAAGGGCUUACCAAGGCGACGAUGCGUAGCCGACCUGAGAGGGUGAUCGGCCACACUGGAACUGAGACACGGUCCAGACUCCUACGGGAGGCAGCAGUAGGGAAUCUUCCGCAAUGGGCGAAAGCCUGACGGAGCAACGCCGCGUGAGUGAUGAAGGUCUUCGGAUCGUAAAACUCUGUUAUUAGGGAAGAACAAAUGUGUAAGUAACUAUGCACGUCUUGACGGUACCUAAUCAGAAAGCCACGGCUAACUACGUG
rnacentral:rRNA from 1 species